CAUCAUCAUAUGGAAUGGCGUCUCUUCAUCUAUUCCAAAGUCUCUUAGCAGCCUCUCUAGCCAUAGAAGUUCUCUUCUGCUGCAGCAAUGCACUUCAAAGCCUAUGAUAGAAGAAAAUCUGACAGUAUAAUCCAAUUUCUAUCCACUCAGAAACAAGUCCUCUUGUUGAUCAGCUCUAAUUCCACAAAUCUGUGUGUACAGGAUUGCAUUCUAGAAUGAUACAGAUAGAAGGAGAACCAGAGAACAGAUGUCAGUUAAUAGUCAUGAGAUGGACCCCAUGAAGCUGCCAGACAAAAAGCGAGAAACUGACUUUCUCCUGCAAUAAAUUGACUUGAAAAAGUCUUUUGGAAUAGGGGAAGGACAGAGUACUUUCAAAUUCCCUAAUUCAUUUGGAUGAGUGCAUGAUUAUCUUUGACAUUCCCAAAAUGGAAAUGUGAUGUGCAAAUGUGUUUCAAAAAUUAAUUCCUGGCAAGUUAGAUUCACACUUUUUUUUUCCAGAAAAGGCACUUGUUCUGCUGC